rnacentral:rRNA from 1 species
ACGGGGCCCGCACAAGCGGUGGAGCAUGUGGUUAAUUCGAAGCAACGCGAAGAACCUUACCAGGUCUUGACAUCCCGAUGCUAUUUCUAGAGAUAGAAAGUUACUUCGGUACAUCGGUGACAGGUGGUGCAUGGUUGUCGUCAGCUCGUGUCGUGAGAUGUUGGGUUAAGUCCCGCAACGAGCGCAACCCCUAUUGUUAGUUGCCAUCAUUCAGUUGGGCACUCUAGCGAGACUGCCGGUAAUAAACCGGAGGAAGGUGGGGAUGACGUCAAAUCAUCAUGCCCCUUAUGACCUGGGCUACACACGUGCUACAAUGGUUGGUACAACGAGUUGCGAGUCGGUGACGGCGAGCUAAUCUCUUAAAGCCAAUCUCAGUUCGGAUUGUAGGUUGCAACUCGCCUACACGAAGUCGGAAUCGCUAGUAAUCGCGGAUCAGCACGCCGCGGUGAAUACGUUCCCGGGCCUU